UACAGAGGGGGCAAGCGUUGUUCGGAAUUACUGGGCGUAAAGGGCGCGUAGGCGGCCCGCUAAGUCGAACGUGAAAUCCCCGGGCUCAACCCGGGAACUGCGUCCGAUACUGGCGGGCUUGAAUCCGGGAGAGGGAUGCGGAAUUUCCGGUGUAGCGGUGAAAUGCGCAGAUAUCGGGAGGAACACCGGUGGCGAAGGCGGUUCUCUGGGCCUUACCUGACGCUGAGGAGCGAAAGCGUGGGGAGCGAACAGG
rnacentral:rRNA from 1 species